CUAGGACAGUAGAGGAGCUUAAAUAGGGAUUUUGCUUAGAUUUUGCACUUUAAAAAAUUGUUUAAAUCCCCAACCAGGUCUGCUGAGAACAGACCCAGUCCCUGAGGAAGGAGAAGAUGUUGCUGCCACGAUCAGUGCCACAGAGACCCUCUCGGAAGAGGAGCAGGAAGAGCUAAGAAGAGAACUUGCAAAGGUAGAAGAAGAAAUCCAGACUCUGUCUCAAGUGUUAGCAGCAAAAGAGAAGCAUCUAGCAGAGAUCAAGCGGAAACUUGGAAUCAAUUCUCUACAGGAACUAAAACAGAACAUUGCCAAAGGGUGGCAAGACGUGACAGCAACAUCUGCUUACAAGAAGACAUCUGAAACCUUAUCCCAGGCUGGACAGAAGGCCUCAGCUGCUUUUUCGUCUGUUGGCUCAGUCAUCACCAAAAAGCUGGAAGAUGUAAAAAACUCCCCAACUUUUAAAUCAUUUGAAGAAAAGGUCGAAAACUUAAAGUCUAAAGUAGGGGGAACCAAGCCUGCUGGUGGUGAUUUUGGAGAAGUCUUGAAUUCGGCUGCAAAUGCUAGUGCCACCACCACGGAGCCUCUUCCAGAACAGACACAGGAGAGCCUGUGAGAUUCCUACCUUUGUUCUGCUACCCACUGCCAGAUGCUGCAAGCGAGGUCCAAGCACAUCUUGUCAACAUGCAUUGCCAUGAAUUUCUACCAGAUGUGCUUUUAUUUAGCUUUACAUAUUCCUUUGACCAAAUAGUUUGUGGGUUAAACAAAAUGAAAAUAUCUUCACCUCUAUUCUUGGGAAACACCCUUUAGUGUACAUUUAUGUUCCUUUAUUUAGGAAACACCAUUAUAAAAACACUUACAGUAAA
rnacentral:sRNA from 1 species